rnacentral:lncRNA from 1 species
GGGUCAAAAGAUCGAAUGGCUCAAAUGGUUGGCUUAUGCCUUCGCCUCUGCAUACGUGAGGUAUUGUCCGCUUUGACUCAUGAUCAUUUUUAGGCUUUAGUGGGUUUUAGGCUUCAAUGGGCCUUUAUCAUUUAGAGCCUCACGAUUUUGUCUUUUAAAAGGAGCCUCACGUUGGGAGAGAAGGUUCCAAUCUAUGUAAGCC